UCCGGCGUAGCUCAGUGGUAGAGCACUCGACUGUUAAUCGAUCGGUCGUAGGUUCGAAUCCUACCGCCGGAGCCA
rnacentral:tRNA from 1 species